rnacentral:rRNA from 1 species
UGAACGCUGGCGGCGUGCUUAACACAUGCAAGUCGAGCGGCAGCGCGGGAGCAAUCCUGGCGGCGAGCGGCGAACGGGUGAGUAAUGCUUCGGAAUCUGCCCUUUAGUGGGGAAUAACCAGUCGAAAGACUGGCUAAUACCGCAUACGACCUACGGGUGAAAGCAGGGGAUCGCAAGACCUUGCGCUAGUGGAUGAGCCGAAGUCGGAUUAGCUAGUUGGUGAGGUAACGGCUCACCAAGGCGACGAUCCGUAGCUGGUCUGAGAGGACGACCAGCCACACUGGGACUGAGACACGGCCCAGACUCCUACGGGAGGCGGCAGUGGGGAAUAUUGGACAAUGGGGGAAACCCUGAUCCAGCGACGCCGCGUGUGUGAAGAAGGCCUGCGGGUUGUAAAGCACUUUUAGUGGGGAGGAAAACCCCUGACCUAACACGUCAGGAAUUGACUUAACCCAAGAAAAAGCACCGGCUAACUCUGCGCCAGCAGCCGCGGUA